CCUACGGGAGGCAGCAGUGAGGAAUAUUGGUCAAUGGGCGCGAGCCUGAACCAGCCAUGCCGCGUGCGGGAAGACGGUCCUAUGGAUUGUAAACUUCUUUUGUCGGGGAGCAAAAGACGCCACGCGUGGCGUUCCGAGAGUACCCGAAGAAAAAGCAUCGGCUAACUCCGUGCCAGCAGCCGCGGUAAUACGGAGGAUGCGAGCGUUAUCCGGAUUUAUUGGGUUUAAAGGGUGCGCAGGCGGAAGAUCAAGUCAGCGGUAAAAUUGCGAGGCGCAACCUCUUCGUGCCGUUGAAACUGGUUGUCUUGAGUGAGCUAGAGGUAUGCGGAAUGCAUGGUGUAGCGGUGAAAUGCAUAGAGAUCACGCAGAACACCGAUUGCGAAGGCAGCAUACCGGCGCUCAACUGACGCUGAUGCACGAAGGUGUGGGUAGCGAACAGGAUUAGAUACCCCUGUAGUC
rnacentral:rRNA from 1 species